UCUCUUUUGGAUCAAGUCCAAAGAGUGUUAUGGCAACACUUUGUUUCUUUAGGUUUUGGCUUGGUUUUGGUAUUGGUGGUGAUUACCCUCUUUCAGCUACAAUCAUGUCUGAAUAUGCUAACAAAAAAACUAGAGGUGCAUUUAUUGCUGCUGUUUUUGCCAUGCAAGGUUUUGGUAUCUUAGGUGGUGGAAUUGUUGCUUUGAUUGUGGCUUCUAUAUUUGAUCACAAAUAUAAGGUUCCUACCUUUGAAGAAAAUCCAGCUGCAUCACUGUUAGUGCCUCAAUUUGAUUAUGUUUGGAGACUUAUUCUUAUGUUCGGCGCUCUUCCUGCUGCAUUGACGUACUACUGGCGAAUGAAAAUGCCAGAAACAGCCCGUUACACCGCUCUUGUUGCUAAGAACGCGAAACAAGCUGCCGCGGAUAUGUCUAAGGUAUUGCAAGUUGAACUUGAAGUUGAAGAGGAGAAGGUACAAAAAAUGACUAGUGAUAAAAGGAAUAGUUAUGGCUUGUUCAGCAAGCAAUUCGCAGCACGACACGGUUUGGCUUUGUUUGGAACAUGUAGUACAUGGUUUUUGUUGGAUAUUGCUUUCUAUAGUCAGAAUCUUUUCCAAAAGGACAUUUUUAGCGCAAUUGGAUGGAUACCUCCGGCAAAAGAAAUGAAUGCAAUUCAUGAGGUUUACAAGAUUGCAAGAGCACAAACACUUAUUGCGUUGUGCAGUACUGUUCCGGGUUACUGGUUCACGGUAGCAUUUAUCGAUCACAUGGGUCGUUUCGCUAUUCAAAUGAUGGGAUUCUUCUUCAUGACUGUUUUCAUGUUUGCACUUGCCAUACCAUAUGAUCAUUGGAGCAAGGAAGAGAAUAGAAUUGGGUUUGUUGUAAUGUACUCACUCACAUUCUUCUUUGCUAAUUUUGGUCCAAAUGCUACGACAUUUGUUGUACCGGCAGAGAUUUUUCCGGCUAGGCUAAGGUCUACCUGUCAUGGAAUCUCAGCUGCUGCAGGAAAGGCAGGAGCAAUUGUUGGUGCAUUUGGAUUCUUGUAUGCUGCACAAAGUAAAGAUCCUACCAAGACCGAUAAAGGGUAUCCAACCGGUAUUGGGAUUAAGAACUCUCUUAUCAUGCUUGGUGUGAUCAACUUUGUUGGGAUGUUAUGCACAUUACUUGUUCCGGAAUCAAAGGGAAAAUCGUUGGAAGAGUUGAGUGGAGAGAACGAGGGAGAAGGUGCCGAGGCCACUGAACAAGAAGGACCGCGGUUUGAAAAUGUAGCUUGAGCAAGAAGGAUCAUGAACAUCACAAAGUGAAUUUAUUUUAUGUUUGCACCAUAUAUUAUUAUUUGUGACACAUUUUAGAACUCUUAAACCAUUUUUCUGUUUGCAUUUUAGCUACUGGUUGUUGUAUUCACAAUAAUGAUGCAGUCCUAUGCUUCUUGGUGUAAGAUUCAAUACUAUGUAAAGUGUAUGUCUUUGGUUGUAUACUAUUUAAAAUCUAUUCUUGUAUUGUAUAAUUUAUUUUAGCCUUUGUUUGAGAUUGAGGUUACUUGUUCUGUUGCAUUUAAUCACAAGUUUUCAUUUUGUUAUACGUACGUGUUAUACCCUGUUUUUGGACCUAAAAAUACUGGGCCCAAUUUCAUUUCAAACUUUGUCAAUUAUCAAAUUUCAACUGCACAGUUCAAAUUGUCUCUGCCUCGCAGUAUUUUCAAUCACAAUUUCACCUAUGUUUUUCUUGCAUAAAACCUUUUGAAGUGUCUUUACUUGUCUUAUAAGUCAUUCAAAAGUGUCUCUGAAUCAUUGCAUUGCUUUUUCUACAGUUUAUUUCAAAAUUAGCAAAAAGUCAUACAGAAGGGUAUUUUGGUCAUUUCCUGCAGUGGGACCCAUUUUCAUCCUUGUGACUGUCUCUGAGUCUUUUCAAAUUGUUUUUUUUUUCAUUUCAUCAGUAAAUUUUGUUAAUUUCGUUUCAAACUUGCGUCUGAGUCAGUGUCGAGUCAAUUUGAAUCUGUUUAGGUCAAUUUUAGCCCUAGGGGCAUUUUGGUCAUUUCACACGAAAUUUUGGCAUGGGGAGGUUACUUUGAAGUACCUCAUUUAGGCCAUUGGUUCGUUUUAGUCCGUUUUGUCAAUUUUAUUUUUGUUUCGCUUUACGUUUGGUCAAAUUACGUUUUUUAUUCAAUUUUAUUUUUAAUUGCAUUUUGGUCCCUUUUUCUUUCCAAUUUGCAUUUCAGUCCUUUUUUAUUACAGUUCAGUCCUUAAGUUUUUGUUUUUGCAGAAAAGUCCCAAAUUCAUUUCAAGUCCAAGCCGUGCCAUUUUCAUACAAAUCCAGGUGUCACCUUUUCAUUGGAUUUCAAGUACACAUGUCAGAUUAUAAAUAGUGCACAGUGCCACUCAAAGCCAUUAAUCACACGCCAACUCAUAAACGCAAUUCCAACUUUCUCUCUCUCAGCAAUUGAAUCAAAACAGAAAUUUCUCAGAUUCAUCAAGAACACCAAGAACAAAAACCCUAACCGUUUUUUUUAGAAUCACCAGAAUCACUGAAUCAUCAACAAAUUCAUCAAAUUCUCUGCAAUUCUCAGAGAUUCAAUACUGAAUCUUCAUCAUUGAAUCACCUCCUUCACAAUACAAGUGCGAGUCCAUUACUGUUAGCAACGGACUCAAGCACGAUCACGAAGAAGACAGUGAGAAGAAGAGGGAAAGAAAACGAAGAAUCUGGACCGGUGGAGAAAAGAAAGAAUCACUGAUUUAUUUUCAGUUUCAAAGCCGGAAAUCAACACAGAAAGCACAGAAUCUCCAUCAAAAAUUUCAGGUAAAAACUCAGAACCUCUUUACAAAAUAAAAUCAUAGUUUAAACCUGCAAAAUCACGCAAGCAGCAAACUUAACAUUUUUCCAGAAUCACAAAAGAACAAGAACCGUAACCGUAACCGUAACCAUAAACGCGUGAAUCUCGUUUUUCUCUUUUCAAAAAGCAUCAACGCAAGCGAAUCGUUACAGAUCAAGAAGGAUAAAAGAGGAUUUGAUCCAAGAAAGUUUCAAAGAAAAAAAGAUUCUCAAAACCGUGACACAAAAACGUAGAUCUACAACGAUUCAGACCUUGCAUGCGAAAUCUAAUGCCAUAUUCUUGUUUAGAACGAAAAAGGAUGUCUUAAUCUGUAAAAAAUUUUGAAAACGGUGGAGUUUCUCGCCUCCGGUGCGGCGGCGCCGCCCUGUUGGGCCGGCAAGCCACCACACCGGAGCGGUGAAGCUCACCGGAGAAGACAACCGGAGAGAGGAGAGAGGUGAGAGCUUCUCUCACUAGGUUUAGGGUUAGAGAGAGAGAGGAGAAGGAAAAAUGGACUGGACCGGUCCUGUAAUCCUUUUAUAAGCAGCUGAACCGGACCGGUCCAGCUCUGUUUCGUUCCCUUCAAUCUAGACCGUUGGAUCUAGGGUUCCAUCCCCUGGAUCAAUCCAACGGUCCCUGCGCUUUCCUGUGUUUUGACUUUGGGCUUUGGGUCUGGGCCUAAGAUUCCAUACGUUUUUUUUGCUCCUUUGUGCUAUUUACACCUUUUUUCUGUGCUAUUGAAACCUGUGCCUUGACCAAAAUUUUGAUAAAAAUUCCUAGAUUUUUUAGGUAUACGUUGUGUUGAUUUCUUAUGGUUCCUAUGACAUUUUUGCAUGUUGAGCUUGAUAAAAGUAUUGCAUGAUUAAUUCAUGGCAUUUUAAUUCCUUUUGGAUCAUUUGCCAUGAGUUUUUUCAUUGUAUUUUUAUCCUUAAUGUGUUAAUAUGUGAUAAUAAUCUUUUGGUAUGUUGAUGUGAGAUGUUUAUGCCUCUAAUCACAUGUUGAUCUUGCUGUUUUGAAUUGUUUUUUUUUUUAUCUUGACUUUGUUAUACAUCGUGCUUGCUAAAUUCUCAUGUUGCAUACUCAUUUGGCACAUUUUGCAUCUUUCCAAUUAUAUUUUUUCCUUGUUGCACUAACAUUUUGUUCCCCAUGUGAUUUCACUCCUAGCAUUUCUCUCCACUCUCUACUUUCUUUAAGCCUAGCAUUUAUUUUUUGCAAAUUUUGAUUCAUUUAGUGAUGUAAUUUGUUAUCAUUGGUUUGUAGCUUGGCAAAGAGGCCAUAGAAUGUAUUUAGGCAAUUUUUGUAAUAUGGACUAUGGACACUAUGACGCACCGACACGCACACACUCACCUUAGAUGUAUGCAUAGGAUUGUAUGGUUAAUUAAGCGUUUAGGUUUUAAACACUUAGAGAAAAUCCAUCUUUUUUUUUUUCAAAAAAAACAAUUGAAUUUCACUUCAAAAAUUUUCAUAAUAAAUAUGAAGUCAACACUUCAUUUUUUUUUCUUUUCUUUUUCUUAAGAAAAAUUCAAUUCAUCUUAAUCAUUUAGACUUUCUUUUUAAUCACUAAUCAAACCUCACUUUUUGCUAAAUCUAAUGCCCUUGAGGCCUCUCAUCUCUAUUCUUCGAAAUCUCUUUUCAAACCUAAAAUCAACCAAUAAAAACAAAAACCAUCUUUGAGCAAGAACUACGCCGGUUUUGAUCCCGUAAAACGGUACGCAGGCAAUGAGUCAAAACUCAUCCAAGCCGAAAUAAAAAUCAAAUUCUACCUCUUCUCACCUCCAUUCUUAACUAAUCACACCUUCUUUUUUACAAAUAAGCAAUAAAAUUAAAGCGUAGAAAUAAACUUAGGAAAGCGGUUCUUAUGGAAUACCAUAAUCGCUCCGGGUGCCUAACACCUUCCCGUAGCGAAAACGACCCCCGAAUCCGGAAACUCAAGGGUUUUUCUCCUUUUACCCUUCCCAAGAAAAAAGAGGGAUAUCAACGGUCAAAAGGUUCAAGUCCAAUUAAUGGCUUGGCACCCAAAAACCAUGAUAACAGUACGUGUUGUUCUAAAAUGUGUUAUACCUUCAUGGGGUUCGCUCCAAUCCUUUACAAAUUUGGUUUAUACCUUAGUGUGCUCGUUAAAAUGUGUUUUCCCACUGACCUAGAUGUAUACUCUAUAUAAGGAAAGUUGGUUGGCGAUGCGAGUCUAACAGAGGCGACUCCCUUGGCAUUACUCGGUAUUUGCGAUGCGGUGCUCAUUGCCAACAAUGCAUGAUAGACAGUAGAAAACACCUUACCUUAUAAUGAAGUCUCGCGUUAUGGGGCUCAUAGUCCGCGAUGCGAUAUUGACUAUAGCUGACUCAUUGGUUUCUUCAAUCCUUGCUCCAUUUCUUCUCACCAGAACGUCUAUAGCGACCACACUCCAAGCAUCAACUAUGAUAAAUUUGUAAAACGAAUCAUACAGCACAUGAAAAUUAAGUCUAACUAAAAAUUAGACCAGACCAGUUACAACAUCUAAGAACUUCAUUUGAAGAAUGAGAGAGUUUAAUUUGAAAAUGAAUCUACUUAAAUAUGCAUCUGGUUUAUCCGCAUUGCAUAUGGAAUGUUCACCUUCAAGGAACAAGAAGCAACUUCAAUAUUUUCUUGGCAAAGUCAACUAUAUUCGAAGAUACGUCUCGAAUCUUUCUGAAGGACGAAGGUCGUCACACCUUUGUUAAAUUGUAAAAAGAAGAAGAAUUUUUAUGGGAAUUUGAUCAGCAGAAGGCAUUCGAGGAUUUUAAUAAAAUCAUACAAGUCAAUUUUCUUGUGGUGAAUUUUUCGUUGAUCCUCCGUAUAUAAUGCAAUGUCUCUAUCAACCAAGUUAGGUUCACAGAGAACAUUCGCAAUAUGUCCCAAUCAUGAGUGUGAUAUUGUUUGGGUUACCCUGAUAUUGAUACGAAGUUUCUACCACCGCUUAACAAUGAGUAAUUUCUAUUGGCAAAUCUGAAGGGCACAUAAGGUGGAUUCUCCCCUCCGAACCUUUUUUUUUAUAUGUAUUAGGCAGAAAUCGAACUUCUGAACACAUGGAGCAUGUCUCUUACCACUUUGACCAAUUCAUUUAUGAAAGAGUGUGAUUUGUUUGGCCAUUGUAGUGGAAACAGUUUAUUAUUCAUUUCAUGGUGGUUAUAUUGUGGCUGAAUUAAACCCCGUUCAAACAAAUAGUCGGAUUUUUCUAAAACGGUUUGAACCUAACCUUAAAUUUGUUCCAAUAUAGUUUUGGUUUAUGUAUCUGAUGGAGAUUUGACAAGUGAAUCAAAACUAUCGAAGUAAUAAAUAAAUUCGUAUCCACGAGGACUGUUGUUAAUUUUUAUUCGACAAAAACGUUAAAAUAAAGGAUGUAUUAAAUUCAAUGGUGCCCUAGGAAAUUGAGUUGAUGUUUGUAACAUAAACGAAUUAAAAACAAUAAAGAUUGGUUUUAGAAAAUUAAAGAGAAGUAUGGUUAAGACCUUCGAAUCCUCCGAAGUUCUCCUAUGAUAAUUUGCACUCUUAAUUCAAGCAAUGAUUAUCUAGUUUAACGACAAAUUAACAAAAUAAUAUAUACCCAAUCUCUUGACCCAUAAUUCUCCCCACGAGUGACAACCCCUUAAUUAAUCUCUUAAGUGAAUUCGAAACCGUUGGAGGUUUUAAUCCCUAUGUCAUAACCUAAUAUUGAUCUAUCUCUAACUUGAUUACUUAGGUUAAACUUAUUACCUAGAUCAGAGUUAAAAGCCAAGGUUAGUGGUCAUCCAAUCUCUAGGAUCAAUUUGCAUAUUCAUAAAGCUAAGGUUAGUAGUCGAUGAUAAACAUACAAAAAGCAUUAAACAUAAAGUAAUAUAAAUUAAAACUAGACUUUCAUUGAUAUUCAAAUUAAAGGAGUUCAACAAAUUAGGGUUCCUAUAAGAUUACAUCAGAUUCAUCUAAGACUCAACCACAAAUAGAUUAGUUACUUAUAGCUAAAGUAAACGAUAACUAACAUAAAAACAAGGAUUCAUACAUGUAUUGGAUGAUUGACUAUGAAUUUUGAUGGUUGCCCACCAGAUCUGCAAAGCCUCCGCUCCAAAAUAUGCUUUUCUCUCUAAAAUCGUGAACACUUACUCUGAAAAUGGACUUUUCUAUUUAUAAGCCUGUCAAAAUCGGCCACCGAGACCAAAAUUCGAUGGCAGAACCAAUUAAAACGCGCGCCGAGUCUGAUGAAAUUUGUGGCCGAAUGUGCAUCUUCGGUGGCCGAUUUUUGUCGAAAGAAAAAGGCAUCAUGUGGCUAGGAAAUCGGUGACCGAAUGCUUAAAUUCAGUGGCCGGAUUGGAUUUCCUGAAAAUCUGAAUUUCAUCCUUUUUUUGUGCUUUCAGCUCCCAUGAACUUGAUGAAUAUCUUCUAAAAUUACAUAAAAAAAGCCUACUAAAAGAGUAAUGACAGAGUGUCAUCACAACCCUAAACUUGGAUCGUUACUUGUCCUCAAAGAAUCAAAUUAAAGUAAAAAAUAACUGUAAAGUAACACUUACUUCACCAAUGGUCAUGUCAAAAGUUCAUCUCCUUAGUCAGUAAUUGAUGAGCUAACUUGCUUGGUUACACAUCCAUUCCACAACUUCUCGCAACAAUAUUGAGAAUUUACAAGGUUCACUCAGUCGACAUGCAGACCUACUAUAUUAUCAAAACUUGAAAAACUUAUGAGCAUCAAUCAAAGUCAAUAUAAUGCACACACUAUUGGUGAAAAUUGACAAUUCAGCUUGUUUUGUCAUUUUUUUUUUCAUAACACAAAGUGAUCUCUUUCUUCUCUAGUACCCCUACCCCAUACUUAGAGUGUUGCUAAUUCCAUGAGCAACCCUAAACUUUAACUUUUUCAUAAUAACAAACAUAAACAUGUUAACUCCAACCAAAUUUGGGUAUAUUCUUAAUGUCUCUAGGUUUGUAAUGUGGUUAGUCACCGAAAUAAGGGGUCUAAUCCUAAUGGCUCAACUUGGUUUAAACAAAGGAUAAUUCAAUAUAAACAAAGGUGGGCUACAAAGGCUCAAGGUACAAGCUAUUUGUCUUAGUGUGUACGAUAUAUUACCAAUUAGUUACAAAAAAAAUCGUGAAUUCUAGAAAUAACAUCUACAUGGAAACACUCAUAUUUGUAAAAAUUGAAAAAUAAAUUUAGGCCAUAAUCUUAGAAGCUGAGGUUUCUGGAAGUUCUUGCUACCUAAGCAUCUUCCUGGAGUACACUUCCCUUAUAGUAUCAUGCAAGCAACCACUUCCUUUGAACUUUUGACAAACCAUUGGUGAAAUAUUUGUUACUGAACUAGUAAAAUUUAAGAAAAGUAAAUUCAUUUAUGAUACUAAAAGGAUUAUUUUCACUAAUGCACAAUCAGAAACUAUUUUAAAAUUUUGAUACAUUGAAGGAAUAUUAUGACUACUUGUUACACAUUCAAGUACUAAAAUGACUAUCACCCAAAAAAAUGACAAAUGUACGGAAUAUUGUGUGUUCUUCAAUACUCAUAACCAUGAGAUGAAUCUCCUACUAAAAUAUUUAAAAGAUUUAGUUUUUUUUCCAGUUGUUGAAUGAACCAAACGCGUAUUGGGACAAUGCACUGUCCACUCAUUCCCCAGUCACCACUUUACUCAUCAACUUAUAUUCUUCAUUCUUUCCUUCCCUACAUAUAUAGUGAGUUUCUUAUAUAUUUUGUGAUUUUGUUUAAGUAUAAAGUUUACUCUUUUCCUCCAACCGAAUAUAUUCUUGUCUUUUCAGUUCAACUUCCACCACCCUUUACCAAUAACUUUAGAAACCAAACCAAAUAUUAACCUCAAAAUAUUAUAUAUCAAGAACCAAAGGAUUGAUUCCUUUGUAUGAGUUGUAGUUAUAGCCUUUGUUUCAAAAGUGAUGCUAAUUAUAUAAGAAAGAACAACAUCAACCUCAUGUUCUUUAUUCUAGUAAUUAGUCCUUUUUUUUUCUUCCUCUAAAUUUUGUUGUUCAUUUCUUGAUUAUGGAACGAAGGGUUCUUGAUGGUAUCAUUAAUAGGUUGCUUGAUGUUAGAGGAAGACCUGGGAAACAGGUUCAGCUUUCAGAGGGAGAAAUCAAGCAGCUUUGUGUGGUCUCUAGAGAUAUCUUUUUGAAGCAGCCUAAUUUGUUGGAACUUGAGGCACCAAUUAAGAUAUGUGGUAACUAUUUUUCAGCCUUCUUUCUUUUAAAAAAUUAAAUAAAUAAUACUUAUAAGUUUGGUUUCUCAUUAGUUAGUAGUUUUGACAUGAAAUUUUGUUACAUUCCAUGGGAUAUAAGGUUGGUUUGGUGGUUGCGUGCGCAAGUUAAAAGGGUAGUUAGUGAUAUGAACUAUGAAGGCCGGGGGUUUGAUCCCCACUCUCAGCAUAAUGCUAAAAUUAGUAAUAAUAUUAAUAUUAGCCGUUUCAACUCUCUAAGUCGUAACCUAACAUAUGAGCAAUUGCUCUCCUAUGUUAUGCUCGAGCGUCUGCCCACUAAUAUAUCCACUUUUUUUUUCCUUCUUGGGGUGGGGUGGUUGGGGCUUGGUAAGAUUCUCUCUCUUAAGCGCCCAACUCAUGAUUGGUGAAGCUAAAUUGAAAUCCGUAAAUUUGGUCUUUAAACUAUAUAAAAGUCUAGCAUUGUAAUAGCAGAGACUAAAUUAAUGUAUUUUAUAUAUUUUAGGGACUAUUUAGUAUAUUUACAUAGUUUAGAAAGUAAAUUAAAAAGAAAAGUAAUAGUUUAGGAAGUAAAUUGAUUGUUUUAUUCUAACUUUACAAUUCUAUAUAAACUUUUUGCUUUUGAAGUUCAAGUACCAAUGGUUUUAACCUUUUUUCAGAAGCACGGUUUGUUGGCAUAUUUUUCUACUUUAGUGGUUUCUUAUGUGUCUGUACUUUAUAGUUCUUGAAAUUUAUGUUCAUUUUUGGUCUAAUUGAAAUUGGUUACAUCCCUGUUUUUUACAGACACCACAUAAUCUCCUUUAUUUUUACCUUUCUUAAAGAGAAAGGCAUAAAACAUUAUCAACUAAAGUGACAUUAAUAAUUAUUUUUCAACUCUUUAUGAGGAGAUUCAAAUUUAGAAUUUCUUCCCUUGAGAUUUCAAGGUCAAAUUUAGCUCCAAACGGACACUCACUCAUAGACAUAAUCUCUUUUGUUUUAUUUUUUUUUAUUUUUUUUUUGACAAAUGUUUUAUUUUAUUUUAUUUUAUAAAUAGUAAUAGUUUGAAUUAUUUCAAAAAAAAAAAAUUGUCUACUAAUUCAAGGUAUUAGGAACUAAUAUAUUGUUUCAUUUCACUAUGCUAUUAUUUUCAGGAGAUAUCCAUGGUCAAUAUUCUGACCUAUUAAGCCUAUUUGAGCAUGGUGGAUUCCCUCCACGUUCCAACUACUUGUUCUUAGGAGACUAUGUAGACCGUGGAAAACAAAGCUUGGAAACAAUAUGUCUUCUUCUAGCCUACAAAAUUAAAUACCCUGAAAACUUUUUCCUUCUAAGAGGAAACCAUGAAUGUGCUUCCAUAAACCGCGUCUACGGAUUCUACGACGAAUGUAAAAGGAGAUUCAAUGUAAGGGUAUGGAAGAUAUUUUCAGAUUGUUUCAAUUGUUUGCCGGUCGCGGCUAUCAUUGAUGAAAAGAUUAUAUGUAUGCAUGGUGGAUUAUCUCCUGAAUUGCAUAGUUUGAAACAGAUAAGUAAUUUGCCAAGGCCUAGUGAAGUUCCUGAAACUGGUCUUUUAUGUGAUCUUUUGUGGAGUGAUCCUAGUAAAGAUGUUCAUGGUUGGGGAGUUAAUGAACGUGGUGUUUCAUUUACUUUUGGUGCAAGUAAGGUUGCAGAGUUUCUUCAAAGGCAUGAUCUUGACUUGAUUUGUAGAGCUCAUCAGGUUUUGUAAAUUCGUUUUCAUGCUGUUAAAUAUGCUUUUAGUUCCUAUAUAAUCGUGAAAGUUCGACUUUAGUAAUCUCUAAAUUUGAGAAAGGUUUUGUUUAUAGCGCAAUGCUUGUAUACUUAUAUUUUGAGUGAAGACCUAGUUUAGUUCCCAAGAAAAACUACGAGACCAUGUUGGGUUCAAGUUUGACCGGUUAGUCGCACAUCAAUUAUGAAUGAGAUAAAUGUUUCAUAUAUAACAGACGUGGCUCAUAUACCUGGUGUCUUAUGAGUUAAGAUUUUAGAUGGAGAUAUGGUGUCAAGAUCUCUUUAUGAAAUCAGAUCAUUGGUUUAUUGUUGCUUCCAACGCUCCUUUGGUCUGUCUACCAGGCCAAAUUUGGCCGCUGAGGAAAAUAAAAAAAAACAUAGUCCUUGGGAAAAAAAUCGGGACAACUAAGUCAGUAAGAUCCGGUUUUUUCAAGUUUCCUCUAUAGGCCUCAAGGACUAAGUUUUUUCCUCGACGACAUAGUCCUUGGGAAAAAAAUCGGUUUUUUCCUCGUUUUUUUUUCCUCGACGACUAAAAUUGCUUUUAUUUUUUUCAAGGAGCAAAUUAGGUGACAUUGUUUUUCUUGGAGAUUAAAAUGAGUAUUCACUGUAAAAAAAUUAAGGACUAAGAAUAAACAAUUGUCAUUUUAUUGUGACAAACAAAUCAAAGUUUAAAUAUGAUAUUUUUUAAGUGAGUUUAUCAAGUAUAUAACUAACUUUUUUGUGUAUUCUUUUCCAUAGGUUGUUGAAGAUGGAUAUGAGUUUUUUGCUAAUAGACAACUUGUGACUAUAUUUUCUGCUCCUAAUUACUGUGGAGAGUUUGACAAUGCUGGAGCAAUGAUGAGUGUUGAUGAGACACUUAUGUGUUCUUUUCAGAUAUUAAAACCUGUGGAUCAUAAAAUGCCUAAGUUUGGUUUUAGGAGUACAACUUCAUUCAAGGUUAGUAAUCCAACAUAAACAUUAAUAUUUCAGUUCAAUCAAGAAUUUGCAAAUUUUAAGUAUUUAAAAUAAUAUUUUUGGUAGUUUGUUCAUUUUAUCAGUCAUAUAAUGAUUAGUGUCAUAUGAAGUAUUAAUUCAGACACAAAUACUAAAUACGACAAUAACACGUUGACAAUAAUAAUUUGAGAAAGUCAAAUAGUUAAAUGUGAUCACUUGUAUUAGUGUACUUAAUGUACUAAUUUAGUACAGUAAAACAACUUAAAACAACUCAAGAGUUAUUUUGCCAAAAUUUCAUUGUGUUUCAUUGUAUAAUGUUUGUUUUGAUUAAAUUCGAUUGUUUUAAUUUCAUAUUAUCUAUGUUAUCUAAAUAUCUUUAUACUUUUUAUUUUAUUUUCAGAAGGCAUUUCUUGGUGCUAAAGUAAGAGCUGAUUGAUGUGACUAUAACAUGACUAAAGUUGGAAUAUAGAUAAAGUUGACAAUGAAAAAGUUAUAAUCUUUGUUCACUAUAAUGUGAAGGAUGACAUCAAUUGUCAAUGAAACAACUUAACUGCUGGCUCAAUACAAAUGGAGAGCUCAUUUUUCACUUCCUUUUUCUUUUCAUUAUUAAGCUUUUUCUAAGAGAUAUAAUUCUCUAGUGCUUCCUCUAUUCAUAAAUCUGGUUGUAUUAUUAUGGCAGCAUUUCGGCUUAUUAACAAUUAGUGUAAUUGUAUUGUAAUAUUAUCAAGUCAUACAUUUUUUUUGUCUCCAAUGUUUAGUUCAAAUAGUUGAACUUAUACAUCCAAAAGAGUUUAUAUGCAUAAAAUUAAUGGAGGUUUGUGAAGAAGAUAAAAAAUCUUACAAGUGUGUUUGGAUCAGAUAAUUGGAAGAUUUUAUAAAAUUUAAAAUUUUAGACAAUUCAAAUAAUUAAAUUUGCAUCUCCUUCAUCUCUAAAUGGUUUUUUUUUUUUUUUUUUGGAUAGAAUGGUGAUAAAUUUUAUUGUUAACAUUUUUUGGAUACUUUUAUAAUUUUUAAUAUUUUUGGUAAAAUUUGCAAAAAGGGACCAAUUUGCAUAUUUCAAAAAACAAGAGGAGACAAUUUAUAGUUUUUGAAAAAUUUAAGGUGCCAAUUUACAAUAUUUUGAAACUUUACAGGGGUUAGAUUGAAAAUACACUCAAUGAUUAUUAUGAUAUAAGAAAUACAUUUAAAGAUUUAAACAAAGUUAUAAUGUAGGCUUAAGUGUAUUUAAGAUUGCUACUAAUCUAUGAAGAUGAUUCUGAUCAUUGAGUGUGGUUAUGAUAUCAAUGGUAUAGUGCAAUCUUUCGUAUUCUAAUAUGAUAUCAAAUAUGUGAGACCAUCUGUUAUCCCGAUUUUGGGGUAUCAAGUCAUUAAUUAGGCUUGAACCUUUCAAUCUUUGAUAUUCUCUAUUUUUUCUUGGGAAGGGUAAAAUUGAGAAAACCCUUAAAAAUUCUAAGUUCGGGGGUCGUUUUCGUUACGGGAAGGUGUUAGGCACCCGCAAUGACUAUAGUACUUUAUAGGAGCCGUUUUCUUAGUUUUAUGUCUACGCUUUAUUUUUAAUGCUAUUUAUUAAAAAGAAGUUGAUUAUGUUAAGAAUGGAGGGAGAAAAAAGUUUGAAGUUUUAUUUUAUUGGACUUGGAGAGGUUUUGACCUCUUGCCUACAUACCCUUUUAAGGGAUCAAAAUGCCAUGUAGUUCUCUUUCAAAAAAUGUUUUUUGCGUGUUUGAUUGAUUUUAGUUUUUUUGGAAAAUGGUUUUGAAGAAGAGAAAGAAGCCGUAAAGGCAUGAGAAAAAGUAGUGAAGAGUUGGUUCAAUUAUUAAAAAGAAAAUGUCUAAGUUGGAAUUAGAGUUCAUUUGAGUUUGAUUAAGAAAAUAAAAGAAAAUGCAAUGGAGUUUUGACUCCAAGGUUUAUUUGGAAAAAAUUUCAAGUGAUGGAAUUUGCUUAUUUUUGGAAAAUUGAUAUUUUUCUAAGUAUCGCGUUUCCUAAGCAUACAUCUAAAGCGGUAUACAUACAACGUGUGUGCGUGUCGGUGCUUGUGUCGGUGUACAUCAUUAGAGAGUCCAUUGUCCGUUACAUUGGCCCUAGUUUACAUUCUAUGGUCUUGCAAGAAAUUAAAAAGAGAAAUUGAAACUACCUAAAAUAUUACAUGACAUUUUAACAUAGAAAUUAAAAGAAAAAUAAUGCCUAAACUAUGAGAAAUUGAGAUGCUCAUGGGAUGGAUGAAACAAGAAAUGAAAUGGUUAGUAAUAUAAGGCAUAAAAAUGGUAAAAAGGGUAAACAAAAUUGAAUAGGAUAGCCAAAAAAGAAAAGAGCAAUGAAGUGAAAUAAAAUGGCAAAAUAUACCUAGAAUUGGUUAUAAUACUUAGACAUGCACAUGACCUAUAAUUCUCUCAUCAUAGCAAUGUUAAAGAGGUUUGAUUUUGAGCUAUAAUGUGAGGAUUAUAAGGAUACAUACAAGCCAAGCAUUAUGACAUAUUUCUAGAGAUACUUUGCACUUUAUUUCUUGACAAAAUCACACAUUACUUGCAAAACAAGAAAAAUGAAAAUUCACAUCACACAAACAGUAAACCACACAUAGGAUCAGAGACAUAUUCAUCAUGAAAUUGCGUAUUAAUCACUCAUAUCUUGCACCAAGACCAUGAACACAAUGUGAUGAAAAAUUCACAAGAAAUUCCAUUAAAAAGUAAAAAAAAAAACAUCAAGAACCAUCACAUACAUUUUUUAUUAGUUUUUCAAUGUGUAAAAGCAUCACAAGAAAUACCAAAAAUGAAUUAAAAACAAAAGGAAUUCUUCUAGAAUUUUUGAGAGAAAAAUUGAGCAAGCAGGGGUUCAAAUAGCAAUACAGCAAGGUGCAAGUAGCAACAAAAAAUAAAAAAAACGCAGAAACAAACAAACUGCAAGCCCAAGCCCAAAACCCACGGAUCCGGAUGCACAGGGAGCGCUGGAUUGAUCCAGAGAGGGAAACCCUAGAUCCAACGGCCAGGAAUGAAGGGGAUUGGACCGGUUUUGGACCGGUCCGGUUCACUAGCCUAUAAAAGCGAGCUCACGCCGGUUUUCAUUUUACCAAGUUCUUUCUCUCUCUAAGCUCUCUUCCCCUCUCUAAACUCUCUCCUCCUUCGCCGGUUUCUGGAAGGAAACGGCCGGAGAAGAUGAAGAUUCAUCGGAAUCUUCAUCAACUCCGCCGUGAAUUCCAGAUUCCGGCGAGCUUCAACCUGACCAGAAAUCCACUAAACCUACUUCAUUCUACUCGUUCUUUCAUCCUAAAUACGAAUCCAACACCAGAAAUUGCAUACAAGCUUUGAAUCGACGUAGAUCGGGGAAAAUCUUUACGGUUUUCGAAUCUUUUUUAGUUUUUUUUUUCUUUUCAGUUUUUGAAGUGAACUUCUUAUAAACCCUCGAUCUACACCGAUUCACCUUCGUUGAUGUUUUUAUGAAAGAAAAAAAAACGAAGUUUGAGUGUUUUACCUCUGGUUUAAUCGGAGAUUCGAACGAAGAUCCUUGCGGGAAAACUUGAACUGCUUCUGUUGGUUAAUCUUCGCUUUGAAACCGAAAAUAAAUCGGUGAUGCUCUUCUUCUUCUUCACUGGUUCCGUUUCUUCAUCUUCUUUCUCUUCUUCUUCCUCUCAAGUCUUCUUCGUGAUCGUGCUUGAGUCCGUCACCAAUAGUGAUGGAUUCGCACUUGUAUUGUGAAGAAGCCGAUUCAAUGAUGAAGAUUCAGUGUUGGAUCUCUGAGAAUUGCAAGGAAUCUUGUUAAAUCUUCAUUGAUUUGCGUUGAUUCGUGAUGAUUUGUGUUGAUUUGUGAUGAUUUCUGUUGAUUUGUGAUGAUUUCUGUGGAGUUUGGAAACUGUUAGGGUUUGGAAGAGGAUGAACAUUCUUGAGUGUUCAUCGUGAUUUCUGGAAAUUGUUGAGUUUUGAUCUUUGAGAUCAGAAAGAGAAAGUUGGGAAGUGUUUGUGAUGUGGCGUGUGAUCUAUGGCCCUCUGAUUCUGACUUGUGCAGUGAAUGCACCUUUUAUAGGCUGCCAGGUGUGCUUGAGACCCAAUGAGAGAGGGACACCUGUAAUUGGACUUUUCUGCAAAAAAUAAGAAAAUUGAAGGACUGGAUAGCAAAUAAGAAAAAGGACUUAAAAAUGCAAUUUUAAAAGUUUUGGACUAAAAAUGCAGUUAAAAUAAAAUUGGACUAAAAUUGGUAAUUUGAAAAAACGUAAAGUGAAACCAAAAAUAAAAUCAACAAAAGGACUAAAAUGAACCAGUUACAAAAAUGAGGUAUUUUAAAACACCUCUCUGCCGAAAUUUUGACAGGAAAAGACCAAAAUACCCCUAGGGACUAAACUGACCCAACCUGACUCAGAUGCAAAAAAUUUUGAAAUGAUUUUUUAACAAAGACUCAACAAUGGUUUGAAAAGACUCAGAGACAAACACAAGGACUAAAAUGGGUUCGACUGCAGGAGAUGACCAAAAUACCCUUUCUAUAUGAUUUUUGCAAAUGUUUGAAAUGAAAUGCAAGAAAGUAAUGCAAUGUUUCAGAGAGACUUUUUUACAUGACUUGUAAUGCAAGAAAGACACUUUGAAUAGUUUUAUGCAAGAAAAUCAUGCUUGAACGUACUUUGAGACAGAAACAGUAAAAUAUGCAGAUGAAAAGAGAGUAAAGAUUUAGAGUAAAACAACAGCGAAUUGACAAAUAUCAGUGUUAGAAAUGAAAUUUGAACGAGUAUUUUUAGGUCCAAAAUCAGGGUAUAACAGCUGCCCCUAUUUAAGUUUCUUUGUCCGGAGGGUCAAGAGACGGAGUCUUUGGCUUGACGGGACGAAGAUACUUAAAUAUUAACAUUUGCACUGUGUUUGGACGUAAAAAUACGCUUGUACAUUUUCAAAUAUCACGAAUGCCAUGCAACAUUUGGAUUAUGAAUGCGAGACAAACGAGAGUUGGAACUAACAAAAGAUUUCGUAUCCAUUGCGGGACUGGUAGAGAUCGGCAAGAUAACAGAUAACAGGGUAGACGGGAAACUUGAAGCAAAUUGACGGGUACAAGCUGUUCUUGGACUUGAACUGGGCACUUGACCAGGGAUAAAGACAAAUAGACAGGUACGAGUUGUUCUAGGAUUCGAACUGGUCACUUGACUAAAAUCGUAGACACAUAGACAGGUACGAGCUGUUCUUGGAUUCGAACUGGUCACUCGACUGGGGUCAUGGAAAAGUAGAUAGGUACGAGUUGUUCUUGGAUUCGAACUGGUUACUCGACCGAAAACAAAGGCAAAUAGACAGGUGCGAGCUUGUUCUUGGAUGCGAACUGGUUACUCCACCGGAGACAAAACAAACAGACAGGUGCAAGCUGUUCUUGGAUUUGAACUAGCCACUUGACCGAACAGAAACAAAUAGACAGGUACAAGCUGUUCUUGGACUUGAACUAGCCACUUGACCGAACAGAAACAAAUUCACUAGGGAUUAGUUUUUUUUGACAAAAUAUAGAUUGAAGUUGACUGGACGUCGAUUUGAUUUGAAAGGUAGAAAUUGAUCAAUAUUAUUGGCUCACAAGAUUUUGAUAGAGAACCCGACAUGAGUAUUGAAUUGAGACUGAUGUUGACAUUGGAAAUGCAAUAUGCAUGGAUGAUAUAACAGUUUUAUCAAAUGUAUGGGUACGUAAUAUGCAUGAUUAUGCAUGUAUGAAUGCUUGUAAUGCAUGACUGUUGGCAGUUUGUAGACACAGUUUCGCAGAGACAGACAAGACAUUGGAGUAUUGGGCACGUAGUGGCUCAUGCUAUAUUACACAUUCCUGGAAAUCCUCUUUGGAGAUAACACCGUUGGGAGACGUAUCGGAACCAUGACUGAGGGCAGGUAGCUAUGCAACUUGCUGGGGGUAGAAUCUCGGAAGACUCUACUGGGGAUAAUGUCGUCAUUGUUGGGCAUUUAUGUGCUGGGUGUACUGUGGAUGUCGCAUCUGUGGUCAAUGCUUUUUGCAUGUUAUUUUCUCAAUUUUUCAUCAUUAUUUUUUUGCAUCCCAUUUUUGCCUGGAUCGCCCUUUCGGGUUUUCGAUCCACCGGGGAAAUAAAUUCUUUUCAUUGCCCCAUUUUUGCCUGAACUGCCCUUUCGGGUUGUCAAUCGAGCGGGGUGCUCAUUUUUGCCUAAGUCGCCCUUUCAACUUAGCGAGCCUAUUCAUUUUCAUGCAUUUUCAUUCUGUUUUUUCAUUCUUGCCAUUGACCACAGACUAUCCUGGAGAAGAACCUGCUUGUAACAUAUAUUGAAAUAGACAUCAACAUACGCUCGCUCAUGCAUGUUUCGUUUGAAUGUACCCUGUUGCUCAGGUUUGCUUUCAAAAUAGACGAAAAAACUUUUUCAAUUUUCAAGAUGUUUGUUUCAAGCAUUUGUCAUUAUCAAAAAUAGAAAGAAAAUGUUUUUUUUUGUACAUGGCUUUGAAAGUAAAAAGAAAAUAGAGUUUCAAACAAAAGCACAGGCUCAAAUUGAUGUAUAAGAGUGGUGGUCAGCCGAAGGCGUGACUCCACGGAUUUACAAAGCUUGGAAAAUGGUAAUUUUAUUGGUUGGUGGUACAUUGAACACAGUAAUUACUACAUGUCCUGGAAACUUUGAAUUCGCAAGCACAGGAGCUUCUGAUGAAGAUGGUCAUUAACAGCUGCAGAUGCCCCAAGAGGAUGGUGGUUGGCCAGAUAUAGUUACUUGCCUCUGUUUCAAUCUCAUUUUUGCAUGAACCGCCCUUGCGGGUUUUCGGCUCAUCGAGACGCUCAUUCUUGCCUGAGUUGUGUACAAUCUCAGCGAGCUUUUUCAUAUUUGUUUUUUUUUUGUCCCUUAUUUUUGCCUGGAUCGCCCUUUCGGCUUUUUGAUCCACCGGGAAGCGCAUUUUUGCCUAGGCCGCCCUUUCGGGUUUUCGACCUACCACGAUGUUCUUUUCAUAUAUCUAGGCAAAGUAUUUCUUGACUAUAUCAGCAUUCACAGGAUUUGGAAGUUCUACACCAUCCAUGUGUGUAAGAAUUAAAGCACCACCGGAGAAGGCCUUCUUGACAACAUAAGGACCUUCAUAGUUAGGCGUCCACUUGCCCCUUGGGUCGGGUUGCUGGCUUAUCCUCCUUUUCAAUACAAGUUCACCUUCCUUGAAUUCUCGAGGAUGGACUUUCUUGUCAAAGGCAGUCUUCAUCCUUGCUUGAUAUGACUGUCCACGAACCAUGACAUCCAUACGUUUUUCCUCAACCAAAUUCAACUGAUCAUACCGGCUUUGGCACCAUUCAGCCUCGGAUAACUUUGCUUCCAUGAUCACACGGAGAGAUGGGAUCUCCACUUCCAAAGGAAGAACUGCUUCCAUACCAUACACAAGAGAGAAAGGGGUUGCCCCGGUUGAACUGCGCACUGUAGUGCGGUAGCCAUGCAGAGCAUAGGGUAACAUCUCAUGCUAGUCCUUGUAGGUAGUUACCAUUUUCUGGACAAUCUUCUUGAUAUUCUUGUUGGCGGCCUCAACUGCACCAUUCAUCUGAGGUCUAUAGGGAGAAGAGUUAUGAUGCUCAAUUUUGAAUUCUUCGUAGAGAUCUUGCACCACAUUGUUGUUCAGGUUAGUACCAUUGUCGGUAAUGAUCUUGCUGGGAACACCAUAUCGACAGAUGAUGUUGUUCCUGAUGAACUUGGCUACCACUUACUUAGUUACAUUGGUAUAAGAUGCCGCUUCAACCCAUUUGGUGAAGUAGUCAAUUGCCACUAAGAUGAAACGAUGACCAUUUGAAGCCUGCGAUUCAAUUCUUCCAAUCAUGUCGAUGCCCCACAUUGAGAACGGCCAUGGGGAUGAAAUAACAUUGAGAGCGUGCGGAGGCACAUGGAUCUUAUCAGCAUGGAUUUGACAUUUGUGGCACUUUCUGGCGUGCUGGUAGCAAUCAUGCUCCAUGGUCAUCCAGUAGUAACCCGCUCGUAACAACUUCCUUGACAUAGUAUGCCCUGUAGCAUGGGUCCCGAAGGUACCGUCAUGUACAUCAUGCAUUAACUGCUCUGCUUCGCGUUCAUCAACACAUCUUAACAAUACCAUGUCGUAGUUUCUCUUGUACAGAAUAUCUCCAUCUAACAGGAAUCUACUGGCCAAUCUUCUCAGGGUCUUCUUAUCUUUGUUGGAAGCACCCGGUGGAUACUCACGGCUUAGCAAGAACUGUUUGAUGUCGUAAUACCAGGGUUUAUUGUCAACCACAUUUUCACCAGUCUGAUCGAUCACAUCCCCAAUAGCGAACACAUGCGAAGGUCUUUCAAGGCGUUGCACUUUGAUUAUUGGCACAUCAUUCCAAUGGUUUACUCGAAACAUGGAGGAUAGAGUAGCAAGAGCAUCAGCCAUUUGGUUCUCAUCACGAGGGAUAUGGUGCAACUCAACCUUUGUAAAAUAUGUCAGCAAACGUCUCGCGUAAUCACGGUAAGGAAUCAACUUGGCAUGGUGGGUCUCCCAUUCACCCUUUAUCUGGUUGAUGACGAGUGCAAAAUCUCCAUAGAUGUUGAGGUGUUUGAUUCUCAUGUCAAUUGCUUCCUCGAUCCCAAAGAUACAUGCUUCGUACUCAGCCAUAUUGUUUGUACAUUCGAACAGAAUCCGGGCGGUAAAAGGAAUGUGAUGCCCCUGCGGGGAUACAAUGACUGCCCCGAUUCCUUUACCAUAAGCAUUGACAGCACCAUCAACGACUAAACCCCACUUGCUAUUGGGAUCUGGACCUUCACUAAUCAACGGUUCUUCGCAAUCUUUUGAUUUCAAAUACAUGAUCUCUUCAUCGGGGAAAUCGAACUCAAUUGGUUGGUAAUCAUCAAGAGGUUGGUAGGCAAGAUGAUCGGCAAGAAUGCUACCUUUGAUUGCCUUUUGAGUUUUGAACACAAUAUCAUAUUCAGACAAGAGCAUCUUCCAGCGGGCAAUCUUUCCAGUAACAGCAGCUUUCUCAAAGAUAUACUUUAUCGGAUCCAUUCUGGAUAUCAACCAAGUUGUAUGAUUCACCAAAUAAUGACGCAGGCGUUUGGCGGCCUAGGCCAGAGCACAACAAGUCUUCUCAAGCAUUGUAUACCGAGUUUCACAGUCGGUGAACUUCUUGCUUAGAUAGUAGAUAGCAUGUUCUUUCUUUCCAGUCUCAUCUUGUUGACCAAGUACGCAUCCCAUGGAUUCAUCAAAUACUGCCAAAUACAUAAUCAAAGGCCUUCCUUCCACGGGUGGGACAAGGAUAGGUGGUUCCAGCAGGUAAUUCUUGAUGCUAUCAAAAGCUCUUUGGCAGUCAUCGUUCCAUACAAUAGGCUGAUUCUUCCUGAGUAGCUUGAAGAUCGGCCCGCAGGUUGCGGUCAUGUGAGAUAUGAAUCGGGAGAUGUAAUUCAAUCGUCUGAGGAAACCUCUGACUUGCUUCUCGGUCUUUGGAGCCGGCAUUUCUCGGAUGGCCCGGAAUUUAUCAGGGUCGACUUCAAUGCCCUUUUGGCUGACAAUGAAGCCUAGUAAUUUUCCGAAUCUGACGCCGAACGUACAUUUGUUAGGGUUCAAUCGAAGCUUGUACUUUCUCAACCUUUCGAACAUUUUUGUCAAGUAUUCAACAUGUUGCUCCUCAUCUAUUGACUUCACAAUCAUGUCGUCCACAUAUACUUCGACUUCUUUGUGAAUCAUGCCAUGAAACAGAGUAGUCAUCCCUCUUUGGUAGGUAGCACCAGCAUUUAUUAGACCGAACGACAUCACUUUGUAGCAGAAAGUACCCCAUGGGGUAAUAAAAGAUGUUUUUUCUCUAUCUUCAGGGGACAUUUUGAUCUGAUUGUAACCGGAGAAGCCGUCCAUAAAGGAGAACACCUUAAACUGAGCAGUAUUGUCAACAAGCACAUCAAUAUGAGGUAAUGGGAAGUUGUCUUUUGGACUGGCCUUGUUCAGGUCUCUGAAGUCAACACACAUCCGGACUCCAUCCUUCUUUGGCACAGGUACAAUAUUGGCAACCCAUUCAGGAUACUCGACUGUCAUGAGAAAACCCGCAUCAAUCUGCUUUUGAACCUCACUCUUAAUCUUGAGAGCCAUAUCUGGAUGAGUCCUUCUCAAUUUCUGCCUGACGAGAGGACAUUCAGGCUUCGUGGGGAUCCGAUGUUCCACAAUCUUAGGAUCUAGACCUGACAUAUCUUCGUACGACCAUGCAAAAAUAUCCGGGUAUUCUCGGAGGAGCUGGAUGAUCUUCUUUUUAGCCCCUUCCUCUAGAGCAGCACCGAUCUUGAUUUCUCGCUUGUUCUCUUCGGUACCUAUGUUGAUGAGCUCAAUCUCUUCCUGGUGAGGCUGAAUGGCUUUCUUUUCUUGCUCGAGCAGUCGAGUGAUCUCAUACGGUAUGUCAUCACCUUCCUCAUCUUCGGCUUCAUACACCGGGAAUUCAAAAUUCGGAGGAAACGUAGGGUUACUGUGCCCAACGGGUUUAUUAUGGCUCAAUCUGCGUAAAAUGGUUGGAUGAUUUUAGAAAGAUGUUUUUAUGCAGAUUUUUUUUGAAAUUAAUAAGAAAAUACAGAUGUUUUGGUUUUUUCUGGCAUUACCAUUAUUUCCAAGGAAAAAAAGCACUAAAAAAAAAUAAAAGCCGUGAAAGAAACGACGAUUUUUAUUAAUAACGACGAUGCCGAAACAAACAUGCCCUUACAGAAAAUAUCACUUUCGCUUCGGGCAGAGCGAGAGGAUUGUUAUUUUGAAAAACAAAACACUUAAGCAACAAGACACAUUACUCGGAAACAUGCAUGAUUGAAGGAAUGUCAAUGGCAUCCCAAUCUCUCGCAAUGCCUCCUGGUAUAACAAACACAGGCCUAGGACCAAAUCCGGUCGCCUCUUCAGUAAUUGCAUUGACAAACCCAGCACUAUGGAAAGUUCCUGUGGAGACACCUGAUGUUGGGGAAAACCCGAGACCUUCCUUAUGCUUAUUCUCACGGAGUUGUAUUAACUUGCCCCAGCCGGCAGCCUGUCCUUCCUGAACAGCCUUCUGAGCGUCUUUAAAAGAAGCCAUAGUAGCCCCAGUCUUUUUGAGCUCCGUACCUUCAAUAGUCAAACCUUGAAAGGCAGUUCCUUCAGCAGAUCCGGCUUCAAUGCAAGAGAAAGAUGACAGCUGGCUAACCAAAUAUGCCUCUUCUCCAUGGACUGUAACAAGCUUUCCAUUCUUCACAAACUUCAAUUUCUGAUGCAGGGUAGAGGUUACUGCGCCAGCAUCGUGUAUCCAUGGUCUUCCCAAGAGACAGCUAUAAUAGGCAUUGAUGUCCAUGACCUGGAAUGUGAUCAGAAAGGUUUCAGGACCGAUAGUCAUUGGCAGAUCUAUCUCUCCAAGAACAUUCUUACGGGAUCCAUCAAAGGCUUUCACCAGAAAAGUACUUCUUCUCAAAGGAGUCUCUCGAUAGCUCAACUGAUCCAGAGUCGAUUUAGGCAUCACAUUCAGGGAUGAGUCAGUGUCCACCAGCACAUUCGAUAGCAUAUCGGACUUGCAAUUCACAGAGAUAUGUAAAGCCAGAUUGUGAUAUUUUCCUGCUUCAGGCAGCUCAUCUUCACUGAACCACAAGUUAUUGCAAGCAGUAAUAUUUCCCACUAUGCUGCCGACGCGAUCCACAGUGACCUCGUGAUCCACAUAGGCUUGUUCCAAUACUUUCAGAAGGGUGUUCCUGUGAGCUUCGGAACUCAGGAGCAGAGACAAGAUGGAUAUCUUUGACGGGGUUUGCAGCAGCUGAUCUACAAUCUUGUAGUCACUUCUCUUGAUUAACCUCAAAAUCUCGUCCAGAUUGGAAUCCUCUAUAGACUGGCUUGGUUGGCUCGCAUCUCUAGUAACAGGAGAAACAUCGGUCAGAGUUGCUUUGUCAAUGGGUGGGGUGGUAGGUGCAUUUGCUUUCUUUUGGAACAACGGUGGGCGGACCCUUCCGCUUCUCAGGGCUGCUGAAGUUCCUUCGGCGAUGUUGCUCACCAUGGCCAAGGAUGCCAGAGGCACUUCUACUCCGUUCUCAAUCAUGGUAGCAUUGUACUUGUAAGGGAUAGCCUUUUCUGAAGUAUAAGGUACUGGUCCGGGCAACCUUAUCACCAGAGGCUCAACAUUCUCUUUCGAAGGCGUGCUCUUGACGGGCGGAUCAUGAAAGACUAGCACAAUCACACAGACAUCGCUGACAGUCAAAUAAUUGUCGUUCAUCAAGCUUUGGAUGUCAUUUUGAACGACAUAGCACCCCAAAGGAUUACGGAAGCAUUCUGGGCAACUGGCAUGAUCAUGGUCAAACAAAGAGGCUUGGCAUAGCUUGAUGUGUAGAGGCACCAAAGGAGUUGCAACAUUACGAACAUCAAGUCUGGGAGCUUUCUCAUAUACCUCAAUCAUGUUUACAGCAGCGUGAUUCGGAAGAGGAUUGUCGAGGACAUGAGGGACAUUGUUCUCAAAAGUUAACUUUCCUUGAUCAAUGAGCUUCUUCACAAUGUACUUCAAAGCGUAGCAUCCUUCGACAUCAUGACCCAGAGCACCUUGAUGGAAAUCACACUUGAGGUCAGAACGGAACCUGGGAGGCAACGGAUCAGGUGGAGGUUUUCCCUGUCUGGUUGUGCAGUGCCCUCUGAGAAGUAGAGUCGGGAGUAACUCGGUAUACAACAUUGGUAUCGGAGGAAAGGUAGGUCUAGCUUGUUGAUGUUGUUGUUGAACUGGUGGCUGUUGUUGCAUUUGCUGAACGAUGGCAUUAAUGGGUACCUGAGGCUGACCCGAUGGUGGUGGAUACUGGUGAUAGAAUGGUGGGAAGAAAGGAUGCUGAGAGUAUUGCAUGUACUGAUACGGCGGAGGUAACUGGGCAGCAUUAAUAGGGGCAACAGUAGCCAUGGAUUGACCGGCUCCGGCAGAUACCAUCUCUACUUCUGUUUCUUUCUUCUUAUGAUGACCGUUACCGUAACUCUUUGAUGCAUUUACAGAGGAUUCAACUUUCUCAAAUACAAUAAUGCCUUCUCUGACAGCUUCUUCUAGACGAGUCCCCAUGGUGACCAUCUCAGAGAAGUUAUUUGGAGCAGCAAUGAUCAUUCUUUCAACAUAAUCCUUUUUUAGAGUCUUCAGGAAUGUCUGAGUCUUCUCUUCUUCGUCAAGAGCGGGAGUGAUGCGGGCAGCUGCCCCCUCCAUCUCUGUGCAUACUCGCGGAAGCUUUCAUCUUUCUUUUGGGAGAGGGAUCUGAGAAAUUCCCUGUUUGGUUUCAAUCUGGUAUUAAACCCAUAGUGGCUUUUGAAAGCAGCGGCUAAUUCAUCAAAGGUAUGAACGUCAUUUUUGCUCAAGCUAGUAUACCAUUCUGCAGCGUCUUCCAUUAAGCUAUCUUGGAAGCAGUGAAUCAUGAGUGAAUCAUUGUCUUUAUAGUUACCCAUCUUUCGGACAUACUUGAUAAUGUGGUUCUGGGGACAAGUCAGCCCAUUGUAUCGGUCGAACUCCGGGACCUUGAACUUCUUGGGGACAUCCACCUUUGGUACCAAGCAGAGAUCAUGAGUCUUAAUAGAGUUCCCGUUCCCUCGGUUAGCUUUGAUUUCAUGACGGAGUUCUUUAGCAAGUUCCUCCAUCCUUUCUUUCAUGGUUUUGAUCACGGGGAUGCUUCCGUGAUGCGCGUUGAUGUUAACACCAUGAGAUAUGGCAUGCACAAGAGGCUCAGUGACAGUUGCCGUUGUCUGAGGCAAGGUAGUAUUGAUGGAGACAGUGUUCGUCCCAGGAAUCGGGCCGUUGUUAGCGGUACCAGAAGUGCCUGCUGCAGUACUAGGAGUGAAAAACGGUGGAAGUCCAUACGGAAACCCAGUUGGCAUAACGAAGCGAGCAUCAGUAGAUGCAGUUGGGAUCACACUUGUAGCUAUAGGGAUAGCUGUGGCUAUAGGGAAAGCUGUGGCUGAUUGUUCCUGGGCGGCUAGCAGAGCAGUCAUGGUAUCAUUGGCCUUAGCCAAUUCUUCCCUUAGAGAAGCUAACUCGGUACGGAGCUGAGCAUUUUCCUCUUCCAUAGCUACCAAAUUCUUCUUUCUGUAUAGUCUAGUCCGAUGUAUUCAAACUGUGGCAGAAGAACCAGGAGGCAGUGAGCACUUGGAAACCUUUUGUGACUUGAUGAAUGAUGCAUAUGAUGCAUGAUAUGUACAAAUGCAAAUGCAAAAAGAUUUUUUUUUUUAGACAAAUUAGGAACUUUGUAAACAACAUUAAACAAGCAAAGCAAAACAAAGUUUUUACAAGGUGAAUCCCUUUGAAGUACUAAGCCAAGGGAAGACUUUGAAAUAUAAGCAAAUAAAACUCUCUAGCAUAGGAAGUGGUGGGAUGAUCCUCAGACUCGGACUCCGAAUCCGAACCGCAGUAUCUAGCAUAGAAGUCGCGUCGUCCUCUAGCUCUCUUGGAGUCCCGCAUAAGCAACUCAUCUUUUUCUUCAAGUUCCCUUCGGACCUUGACCAAUUCAUUCUUCAACAUCAGGUUCUCAUGAGUCUUCUGCUCAUCCUUACCAUCCAAAGUCAUGAUUAGAUUCUCAGCUUCAUUGUAGCGGGCUUUUCACAUCUGCUUCUCACGACUCUCCAUGGCUAGAUGCUCCUGAUACAUCUCCUGAUUUGUGGGAGGUAGAGGUAAAGGUAUAGAUGGAGCAGAUGCAGACACAUGUCUCAUAGCAGGGUAAGGCAUACCAAUCUCCUCGGCUCGAUCUAUUACCCACUGAGUAUAGGCCUCAUGGGCAAUACCGGAUCUUACACCCAAAUGUUUCACACUCUUCCUACGGACUUUGGACCAAGCAUCUAUGAAGGCCUCCCUUUGUCCGGUGGGGGCAUUCGAAUAGUAGAAGAAUUCCGAAGAGGUAGCAAGAUUAAUGGGCUUUGCCUUCAUUGGGAACCCAAACUGUCUCAUAGCAAGUUCAGGAUUGUAGUUGAUUCCCCCACGGGUACCAAGAAGAGGUACAUUGAGAAAAUCCCCACAACCGGUAAUAAUUUCCUUAACCUGAGCGGCGGGAGUGAGCCAGACCACCUCAUUAGGAGUGAGGGCCAUAAUCCGUUGUGAGUAAGACCAAUUCUCCGAGUUUUCAUGGAAAGAACUUGGAAGCUGAGAAAUAAACCACCUAUAUAGGAGAGGCACGCAGCAAAAGAUGUACCCACGACCUUUGAGGGUUCGAUCAUGGAUAGCAUGGUAUGUGUCAGCUAGCAAGGUAGGAACCGGAUUCUUGGAAUGGAAGAUCUCAAUAGCAUUCAUAUCCACAAAGUUGUCGAGAUUCGGAAAGAGAAUGAGCCCAUAGAUAAGCAAUGCAAGAAUAGCCUCGAGCGUGUCUUGACAAGUGGUUUUGAGAUUAGCCUGCUCAAGUAGAUACUUUGAAGUGAACCCUCGGAUGUGAGACUUGGUAGUAAGAUGAUUGGAGACAUUGGAAGUCUUGAGAUAGAGAUCCUUAGCAAUAACCAAAGGAGUAAGAGAAGUCCCGGGACCGGUGAAAGGCGUCUUCUCGGCUAUAGGUGAAUCUAACAAGUAGGAAUAAGCCUCAAGAGUAGGGACUAACUGGAAAUCCGGGAAAGUGAAGCAACGGAAACUCGGGUCAUAGAAUUGCACUAGAGUGUGCACUAGCUUCUCUUCAACAUUGGUCCGGAGAAUAGUAAGCAAACCACCAUAUCGGAGUCGGAAACCUGUUUGAUUCUUAACCUUAAGUGCCAAUUCUCUCAAACUAACCAAAUCAACCUCCUUGAAUUUGUAGGAUUUAGUCUUCUUCAUACCUGUAAUGUUUACAAAGUUUUUAAUUUGUCCAAUCCUUCGAUGAAUGCAUGAGAAAAAUUUAUGCAUGAAUGCAUGUAUGCAUGAUUGUUUUUCAAUUACAGAGAAAACAUGGAGGGUUGAGAUUCAAAGUCAAGGGGCCACGGGCGGACACGGUGCCCGGUAAACUAAGGCUUAGGAUAAUAGUAACCAAGGUUCUAAUGAAGUUCCCAAACUGCAACCUCUCUUACGUAUAUCAUGGUAGCACGGGACAACGUCCGUUCCAUGAUUAUUCGCAAGAAGGUCUAGUUUGAGUGUAGUAUCGCGUGACGACUAAAACUCGAGACGACACUCGGUUUAGCCACCGCACUACGUCCUAAAAAGGCCAGGGAUGGGUUUGGUAACUACGGUCCAUAGCAUCGUCGAACAAUUGAAAGCAAAGUGCCUAAGCAUGACAACACACGCCAACAAUAUUACUUCCAAAAUGCCUCAGCUAUGUGAGAUUGAUCGCAUAACCCAAUACACGAGGCAACCCUCGGAUCGAAUUGUCGAUUAUAUCUCUACCUAUUCAUAAGUUCACUCAGCCCGGGUAUAGGACUUUUGAUAUUCUCACCCCACACGUCAAAUGAAAAUAAACAAAUAUUCACAUAUGUAAGCAAUAAAACAAAGCGUAAACAUAAACUACGAAAAACUAGGCGUGACCCGCUUAAAAUUAUCCCCAGUGAAGUCGCCAUUUCUGUUAUCCCGAUUUUGGGGUAUCAAGUCAUUAAUUAGGCUUGAACCUUUCAAUCUUUGAUAUUCUCUAUUUUUUCUUGGGAAGGGUAAAAUUGAGAAAACCCUUAGAAAUUCUAAGUUCGGGGGUCGUUUUCGUUACGGGAAGGUGUUAGGCACCCGCAAUGACUAUAGUACUCUAUAGGAGCCGUUUUCUUAGUUUUAUGUCUACGCUUUAUUUUUAAUGCUAUUUAUUAAAAAGAAGUUGAUUAUGUUAAGAAUGGAGGGAGAAAAAAGUUUGAAGUUUUGUUUUAUUGGACUUGGAGAGGUUUUGACCUCUUGCCUACAUACCCUUUUAAGGGAUCAAAAUGCCAUGUAGUUCUCUUUCAAAAAAUGUUUUUUGCGUGUUUGAUUGAUUUUAGUUUUUUUGGAAAAUGGUUUUGAAGAAGAGAAAGAAGCCGUAAAGGCAUGAGAAAAAGUAGUGAAGAGUUGGUUCAAUUAUUAAAAAGAAAAUGUCUAAGUUGGAAUUAGAGUUCAUUUGAGUUUGAUUAAGAAAAUAAAAGAAAAUGCAAUGGAGUUUUGACUCCAAGGUUUAUUUGGAAAAAAUUUCAAGUGAUGGAAUUUGCUUAUUUUUGGAAAAUUGAUAUUUUUCUAAGUAUCGCAUUUCCUAAGCAUACAUCUAAAGCGGUAUACAUACAACGUGUGUGCGUGUCGGUGCUUGUGUCGGUGUACAUCAUUAGAGAGUCCAUUGUCCGUUACAUUGGCCCUAGUUUACAUUCUAUGGUCUUGCAAGAAAUUAAAAAGAGAAAUUGAAACUACCUAAAAUAUUACAUGACAUUUUAACAUAGAAAUUAAAAGAAAAAUAAUGCCUAAACUAUGAGAAAUUGAGAUGAAAGAAGUGAGAUGCUCAUGGGAUGGAUGAAACAAGAAAUGAAAUGGUUAGUAAUAUAAGGCAUAAAAAUGGUAAAAAGGGUAAACAAAAUUGAAUAGGAUAGCCAAAAAAGAAAAGAGCAAUGAAGUGAAAUAAAAUGGCAAAAUAUACCUAGAAUUGGUUAUAAUACUUAGACAUGCACAUGACCUAUAAUUCUCUCAUCAUAGCAAUGUUAAAGAGGUUUGAUUUUGAGCUAUAAUGUGAGGAUUAUAAGGACACAUACAAGCCAAGCAUUUUGACAUAUUUCUAGAGAUACUUUGCACUUUAUUUCUUGACAAAAACACACAUUACUUGCAAAACAAGAAAAAUGAAAAUUCACAUCACACAAACAGUAAACCACACAUAGGAUCAGAGACAUAUUCAUCAUGAAAUUGCGUAUUAAUCACUCAUAUCUUGCACCAAGACCAUGAACACAAUGUGACGAAAAAUUCACAGGAAAUUCCAUUAAAAAGUAAAAAAAAACAUCAAGAACUAUCACAUACAUUUUUUAUUAGUUUUUCAAUGUGUAAAAGCAUCACAAGAAAUACCAAAAAUGAAUUAAAAACAAAUGGAAUUCUUCUAGAAUUUUUGAGAGAAAAAUUGAGCAAGCAGGGGUUCAAAUAGCAAUACAGCAAGGUGCAAGUAGCAACAAAAAAUAAAAAAAAACGCAGAAACAAACAAACUGCAAGCCCAAGCCCAAAACCCACAGAUCCGGAUGCACAGGGAGCGUUGGAUUGAUCCAGAGAGGGAAACCCUAGAUCCAACGGCCAGGAAUGAAGGGGAUUGGACCGAUUUUGGACCGGUCCGGUUCACUGGCCUAUAAAAGCGAGCUCACGCCGGUUUUCAUUUUACCAAGUUCUUUCUCUCUCUAAGCUCUCUUCCCCUCUCUAAACUCUCUCCUCCUUCGCCGGUUUCUGGAAGGAAACGGCCGGAGAAGAUGAAGAUUCAUCGGAAUCUUCAUCAACUCCGCCGUGAAUUCCAGAUUCCGGCGAGCUUCAACCUGACCAGAAAUCCACUAAACCUACUUCAUUCUACUCGUUCUUUCAUCCUAAAUACGAAUCUAACACCAGAAAUUGCAUACAAGCUUUGAAUCGACGUAGAUCGGGGAAAAUCUUUACGGUUUUCGAAUCUUUUUUAGUUUUUUUUUCAGUUUUUGAAGUGAACUUCUUAUAAACCCUCGAUCUACACCGAUUCACCUUCGUUGAUGUUUUUAUGAAAGAAAAAAAACGAAGUUUGAGUGUUUUACCUCUGGUUUAAUCGGAGAUUCGAACGAAGAUCCUUGCGGGAAAACUUGAACUGCUUCUGUUGGUUAAUCUUCGCUUUGAAACCGAAAAUAAAUCAGUGAUGCUCUUCUUCUUCUUCACCGGUUCCGUUUCUUCAUCUUCUUUCUCUUCUUCUUCCUCUCAAGUCUUCUUCGUGAUCGUGCUUGAGUCCGUCACCAAUAGUGAUGGAUUCGCACUUGUAUUGUGAAGAAGCCGAUUCAAUGAUGAAGAUUCAGUGUUGGAUCUCUGAGAAUUGCAAGGAAUCUUGUUGAAUCUUCAUUGAUUUGCGUUGAUUCGUGAUGAUUUGUGUUGAUUUGUGAUGAUUUCUGUUGAUUUGUGAUGAUUUCUGUGGAGUUUGGAAACGGUUAGGGUUUGGAAGAGGAUGAACAUUCUUGAGUGUUCAUCGUGAUUCUUGGAAAUUGUUGAGUUUUGAUCUUUGAGAUCAGAAAGAGAAAGUUGGGAAGUGUUUGUGAUGUGGCGUGUGAUCUAUGGCCCUCUGAUUCUGACUUGUGCAGUGAAUGCACCUUUUAUAGGCUGCCAAGUGUGCUUGAGACCCAAUGAGAGAGGGACACCUGUAAUUGGACUUUUCUGCAAAAAAUAAGAAAAUUGAAGGACUGGACAGCAAAUAAGAAAAAGGACUUAAAAAUGCAAUUUUAAAAAUUUUGGACUAAAAAUGCAGUUAAAAUAAAAUUGGACUAAAAUUGGUAAUUUGAAAAAACGUAAAGUGAAACCAAAAAUAAAAUCAACAAAAGGACUAAAAUGAACCAGUUACAAAAAUGAGGUAUUUUAAAACACCUCUCUGCCGAAAUUUUGACAGGAAAAGACCAAAAUACCCCUAGGGACUAAACUGACCCAACCUGACUCAAAUGCAAAAAAUUUUGAAAUGAUUUUUUAACAAAGACUCAACAAUGGUUUGAAAAGACUCAAAGACAAACACAAGGACUAAAAUGGGUUCCACUGCAGGAGAUGACCAAAAUACCCUUUCUGUAUGAUUUUUGCAAAUGUUUGAAAUGAAAUGCAAAAAAGUAAUGCAAUGUUUCAGAGAGACUUUUUUACAUGACUUGUAAUGCAAGAAAGACACUUUGAAUAGUUUUAUGCAAGAAAAUCAUGCUUGAAUGUACUUUGAGACAGAAACAGUAAAAUAUGCAGAUGAAAAGAGAGUAAAGAUUCAGAGUAAAACAACAGCGAAUUGACAAAUAUCAGUGUUAGAAAUGAAAUUUGAACGAGUAUUUUUAAGUCCAAAAUCAGGGUAUAACACCAUCUUUGAUCCUUGGAAUGUUGUCUUUUAUAUAGAAAAGGUGUGACCUUUUCUUGGUGAGUAAGUAAGAAACUAGUCGUUAUAAAUAGUGUGACCUUUCAUUGAUCAUUUGUUUUGUGUUUUCUGAACUCUAAUAUGAUCUUCAGAGCUUCAAUCUGACAUGCUUAUGAACUGCAUUCUGACCUAAUUGAUCUAUAUUCUAAAGUAUAUGAGAUUUCUUUUGAACUUUUGUUCUGAAGUCAAUUUGAUCUAUAUUUGAAAUGAUUCUGAUCUUAAUAUGAAGUACCUCUCAGACAUUCUGAAGUCCUUCUUAAUCAAUAUGAAGUUCACUUGACAAACUUUUCCCUUUUCUUAGUAGUGGAUACUGACGGAUCCAAAAAAUUUGACUUAUGGGAGCAGGAUUUUAUAUGAUAUAUAUUUAUAUAAAAAAUUUAGCAAUGCAAAAGUGAUAAAAUGAUAACAUUGGGCAAAAUACUUGAGAUUAUAAUAUUAUAUAUUAGAAAUAUUAACAAUUCUUUCUGGAAACCAAAGAGAUGGUGGUCAUAGGUUAAAUAUCAACAACUCUUUAACAUCUACAAAUUAAAGUUGUUAUAUGUGUUUAUAUUUAAAAAGUAUGGUAAAUAUCAUUCAAAAUUUCAUCUCAAAUGCAAUUACACAUUUGAUUUUAUAAAAUUCAUGACAGAAACUCAUGAAAAUAUUUAAUGGGGGAAACCUAUCAUUUUAAGAGGGGGGAUAUAAUUAAAAUAUCAAAGAUUUAACAAAUAACCCAGAAAAAUAGUGGGGGCAACCCCCAAUUCACAAUAGAUGGAUCCAUGCUUGGUGGUGGACGUCGAUUGUUGUAAAUUUAGUAAGUCAAAAAGUAACACCAAUAAACUUAGACAUGUGGGAAAAUUAUCAAUAGAAACUAAUAACCAAAAUAACCACAAACAGCAACAAAUCUAGAUCUAAUAUAGUGACUAAACGUAAAGCAAAACCACAAUCGAACUAAAGAAUAACGAGAUAAAGAGGUAGAGUAUAUAAAACAACAUCAGAAAAUUGUUUACCUAGUUUUGGCCAAACAAUGAUCUACAUCCAGAGAGUUUCCAAUCCACUGUCAAUUAGUUCUUUGCAAAAAAUAAAAAUAAAAAAAUACAAAGAGUUGCAGUAUACUAGCUUCCACACGAUAUCCAAGACAAACCUAAUUUCUACAUUUUUCUAGAGUCUCUUGUCGUGGUCAAGAGACUCAAUGAUUUUACUACCUAAGGUAUUUCAUAAUUGUUUCUCAACUCUAGAAUCUAACCCUAAACUAAACCAACUCGUAGCCUUUGAUUUCCUAAGGAUCUUCUCUUUUAAGUUUUCAAAAUUCACUCAAGUUGCUCACAAUGACUCUCCUCUCAUGUGUUUGCCAACACAUGAAUUUCUAUCCAAAAUGCACCAACCCUUUUCGAAGAGCCCCCUCUUUUGGUUCUUCAAGAUAUACAUCUUGAACCUUUGAAUAUCACCCAAAGACCCUUAACCUUUAGUUUCUAAAUUUUAUAAAAUUAUCUAAUUUGAUUUCCAUGAGAUUCUCAAACUCUCUCAACAAAUACUUGAAAAAGAGUACUUUUAUUGUGUUUCAUAUCUAUACAAAUCAUGCCAUGAUUUCCUGGAUCGCGACACGAUUUGCACCCGUACACAAGUACAAUACUAUACCAGCUCUAAAAUUAAUUAAGCUUUGAUUAUGUCUAAGUCAAUGAAAAAUAUAAUUGACUUUUGUUGGCACAAACUAAUAAUAAUGGACUUUUUUUUUACAAAAUAAUAAUUGACUUUAUUUGUUGGUAAAUUAAUAAUAAUUGAUUUUUGUUAUUUGGUACAAAAAUAAUAAUUGACUUUGUUUACCGAUAUAAACCCACAUAACAUAGCAUCAUACCCCAAUAACAUAGCGUCAUAGUUUAACUGCGAGAUGUUCUAUAGUUUUUUUAUUUUUUUAUUUUUUUUAGGAAACGAGUUGUUCUAUUGGGGCUUAAUACAUAAUUUGAUUCCUUAACUUAUUUUUGGUUUUUAAUUUGAUCAUCUAACUAUAAAGUGUCUCAAUUUGGUCCUAUAAAUCUUAUGUCAUUUACUAUUUUGGUCAUCUCCGUUAGUAUUUUGCAAAAUCUGUUAACUCAUUUCCACGUGUCAUUUAAGAUUGGCGAUCAACGGUUAGAUUUAAAAAGCACACAUGGCAUACCGUGGACUCACAACGUACCAUAACUUCUAUUGUCAUCUUCCUUUUUCCUCAACCUUCAUAGAAAAAAAAUCUAAUUUUUUUUCUUUCAAAAAUUCAUCAUUUCAACAUCAUCAAAAACAGAUAAUCAAAUCCUUAAAUCUGGAAUAAACACCACCACCAUCAUCUAACUCACAAUCAAACUCAUUUAUCUUGAAAAUCUCUAAAAACCUUUUCCUUCUUCUUCAUCGAACACACCUCCAACAUAAUACUCAUUUAUAAAUGAGCUUUGUCCACCAACCAUACCACACCAACAUACACACACCACAUAGUAGUAUAUCAGAAGCCCUUAUCAACAAAAGCUCUUCUUCCAACAAAGGUCUCAAAUAAUUCUCCAAAUUCUAACUAACAAAACAUGGUUCCGUUUCAUUAGCACGUUUUAACCUUGACCCAUUUCUCAAAAUCAAGUCUUUCCUAAAAUUUCCAACUUUUUUACUAGAAAAAUCUCUUCCUAAUUCAUUAACAAAAGAAUGCUUCAGAUCUUUUUGUUUGGCAACAACAAUUUUUUCAUCACCAUCAGAUUUUCUAGGGUGUUUGGUGAAUGUGCUUAUUACUAGAUUUUUCUUUUGAUGUUUUUUCUUCUCGGUAUGAAGUAUGGAGAUCAAGAGGGAACACUCUGAAGAUUGUUGGUAAACUUUAAUUUUAACUUUAGGAAAUUUAAAACAAAAAUGGAAAAACAAUAAGAAUUAUCAUAUGUUGUGAGUCUACGGUAUGUCACGUGUGCUUUUUAAAUUCAACCGUUGAUCACCAAUUUUAAAUGACAUAUGGAAAUGAGUUAAUAGAUUUUGCAAAAUACUAACGGAGAUGACCAAAAUAUUAAACGACAUAAGAUUUAUGGGACCAAAUUGAGAUACUUUAUAGUUAGGGGAUCAGAUAGAAAACUAAAAAUAAAUUAAGGGACUAAAUGAUCUAUUAAGCCUAUAUUAUUUGGUAAGAGUGUUUGGCACUGGUACGUUUUGUACUUUAUAUUUUACUAGCAAAAAGAUGAGCACUCAUGUGACCGUCUUUCCGCUCUAUUUAUUGUACAAACGCGUGUAAAUUAUGAACGAUAUUUUAUAUAAAAUUUAAGUUUUAAUAUUUAUGACUUUUAAAUUGUAACAAACCCAAAAAAGCAUUUUUAUUUUUUUCAAUAACAAUAGUAAUUUAACAAAUAUAAUAUAAAUCUAUAUCUAUACUAUAUAUAAAAAAAUUCAGAUAAAAAAACCUGCAAGGUUUAAUGCAGACUAAAUAUAAUACUUUAUAUUUAGGGUCGUGGUGUUAGUGUUUUGCUUGUUGUUGCUGGCCCUUGUGUUCUUGGUUCUCUGGGACUGUUUGGUAUGCGUUUUUUUUUAUGCUUUCUGUUCAUGAUCAAAGAUUGUAUUGGGUGGUUGAUGUUUGACAUGUUGUUAUAGUUGGUUUCGUAUACCUGUUAGAGGUUGUUGGUUCGAUUAACCCAAAAGGGUCUGACUAGUAACGUAUUAGACUCAUCCUUUGAUCUGAGUUCUUACGCGUCUCUUGGAAACCGUUGUGUUGGUUGGUAUGUCCUUCGAUUCUCUAAUGUUUUCAUAUAUGUUGAGUUCUGCAUAUGUUUCAAGUAGUCAUGGCUACCUAUACUUUGGUACUUGCUCGAAAGAGCUCUUAUGCUUGCGCUUGUUCAGGGAGCUGUUGGCACUUGGAUUACCGUGUUUGCGGUCGAUCCAUUCAAGAUUUCCUAACUGUUUUUGCAGAAUCUUACUCUUCAAAUUUUUUUGUAGCCUGGUUUCGUGCCCGUACGCGGGUUCGCUGGGUUGCACCCGUGACUAGUGAAUUUUUGUUAGAAUAGAUUAGGACUGGUCCACUUGGUAUGAUUUAUUCCUAAAUGGAUUGUGCCUGGGUCAGGUCUCAUGCUCCCCCAAUCUUUAUAUCUUUCUUUUUGUUUUAAUCUAAUUUUUAUUUUGCCUAAAAAAAAGUUAAAUAUAUUUUUGGUUAUUAUGGACAAGAAUAAAAUAUUCAACUCCUCUUUAAGUUAAAGGGUGGCAUACUCCACUAUUACUCUGAAAAUAACUUAUUGACAUUUACAUAACACACUAUAUUUAUUCUUAUGGUGAGUCAAUUCAAUAAAAUUAUUACUUCUAAUAUUUAUACUUAUGUGACGACUUGAUAUCACAUAUGCAUAUAAUAAUCUCAAUAUAUUACCGUUUUCCUAUUUGAAAAUAGUUGUUGACAACCUAUAUAUAUUUUAGGAAUAGUGUUAGAUUGGAUUCUUCACAAAUAUUACUACCAAAUUUUUUUAAUUUAUGUGAUUGAUCAGUAAGAGGUUUUAGGUCUUAUAAAACAAUCCCCUUAUCAUUUUUCCUCAUUGUAGCAAUCAAAGGAUGUGUCAAGUUGUAUAUUCUAUAAUUUUUUAUUUUUUUUAAGUAUUUUAGAUAACGUAUCGUGUCAUACACAUAAAAGUUAAUUUAUUAUUGAAUUAGAGGCCACUUGUCUUUAUUUUUUAAGGGCAGGGACCACUUGUUAUUUGCUUAAAAUUGAACGAAAAUAUUAAGAUUAUAGUCUCUUUAGGAUUACUUAAAAAAUCAACAAGCAAACUAUGAAUGGAUAAUUUAUGAUAUAGCAUAAUAGAAACUAUUAUACAAACCCAGAAUUUUGUUAUUGGAGAACCUCUAACUACCAGUAUAGUUGAAUAUUGGGUUGCAACAGAUACAAGGGGUAUUAAAUAUAUUGAGCAUAUAUCUGUUUCCACAAGUGGAAUCAAUGUCAAAUCUAAAAAAUAUCUCUUAAUUACCUUAAGUGGAAUGGAUGUCCUAGAUUUUUAAUUGGUUAUGUAUCUGUAUUAAGGAUAUAUUACUCGGAAAGAAUAAAUUAGCAUGUGAACUAUUAUAGUUCCCUAAAAAAAAAAGUCAACUAUUAUAGUGGUUUUCCUCUAAAAAAGAGAGUAAAUUACACUUCGCUUUCCUUACAGAUGUUUGAAUUACUGUUCCAUCUCCUCUUAUAUUAAAAUAUACAUUUUAUUCUCCUCUUAUUCAAAACAUAUUAUGCUAAAAAAAAAAUCUAUUAGGGAUUUUGAAUCGUUGAACAACAUAAUUGUUUUACUUAAGUCUUAAGGUGUUUAAAUCUCUUUAGGUCAACAUCCCGAAAUUAUGCUUAAGCAUGUUUAAAUUUGUGAUUAAUGAAAUUACUUUGGUGAUUAGCUAGUGAAUUUCAACUCUUGAUAUAUCCAAUAGCAAUUGCCGCAAAAGUUGUAUAAAUUUAGUUGUACAAAUAUCAUUUAUCUAUAAUACAUUUUUCAUUCCUAAUUUUAUAUCAAAUAAACAUGGUUGGAUGCAAGUGAUUUACAUGUGUUUCCUAUUAUUUAUUUACAUUUUUUAUUACAAUGAUGUAUGUGUUUCUGUUAAUGUUGAAUGCUUAGGGUAUCCAAGUUUAAUCAUUAAUUAACAUAACUAGCAUUCAGAUUUAAGAAACAAGAAAAUUAAUUAAAAAAAAAAUAGUGCUUAUAAAGCGUUUACAUUGAUGAAUGCUUGUGAGUGGUGAUUAGGUUAGGCAUAUACCAUUGAUGCUGAAUUGAUUCCUUUGACCUAGCAAGGUUCAUGUUACCUAUAUAUAUGCAUAUUAAUAGUUUAGCUGCUCAAAGUGCAGGCACCUAGCUAGCUCCUCAUACAAACUUGACUUCUCACAAGGAGGUCUUCUCUCUCUCUAUCUCUCUAGCUUGGUGAGUUUGUCAACAAUUAUCAUUUUUCUUAAUGAAAAAUCAAGCUUUACUUUAUUUUGGUAUAUCAAAAUUAAUCUCUACAUGCAAAUGUAGAAAUUAAUGCUUUGAGAUAACUACAUGGAAAUAUAGAUAUUGUGCUGCUAUAACUUAGAUGAGAGGCCCCACAUAGUACUUUUCUAGUUAUAAAGGCAGUUAUAUAACGUACUUAACAAACAAUCAUUCAUUCCACCUUUGACUACGUGGAUAUGUCUUAUUUUCAUGAAUUUUUCCCAUGCAUUACUUUGGAAAUUCAAUUAGUUCUAGUCUUACUACUCUUUUCGUAAAGUACUAGCUCAUAGAACUUCUUCAAGAAUUAAGAAAUGGUUUCAUGUACCUUUAAUCUUUUAUGCCUAUUUUCAUAUUUCGUUUCAAUGUUAAUCUCCUUUCUCUAAUUUCUGCAUCAGUUUAUUUACCAGAAAUUUAUUUCAUGCAUGUGUAAAAUAACUAUAAAGUGCUUAUAAUUAGAAAGAGAGUACUAAUUACCAUAAUUUGUCACAAGCACCUAUUCUUUACUCCACUUUUUUUUAUCUAUCUUGGUAUUCAUCAAGAUAUUUUAGGAACAAAUUAAUCUUUUCCUCUUUGAUUGCAAUCUGUCCCUACGAACCAAGUACUUUGACAAAUAUAAUAGUAAAUAGCUAACUGAGAAACUAUUUAUUUGUUUAUUUCAAAGGGUGUAGUAGCUAAACUCACACACUACAUGAAGAAAACAGACGAAUUAAGAUUUCGAAUUUGCGCUAAAAUAUAUCAAAUGAUCAUGCAAUAUUUUACAAUACAAACUAGACAAUAAUAAAUUAUUUAAAUAAAUGAGAUCAUGGUAUUGAAAGUAAUAAACAUUAUCUUUGUAAUUUAAACUACAAAUAAUUUGAGAAAGAAAAAUAUGCUAAACAAAACAUUGACUCUUAGUUAAUAUGACAAGAAAAUACUUUUAUUCUUCCCUAAAAUAAAAAAACUUCUUUAAUUCUCUUAUUUAUUAUUUCGUAGGGCCACCAAGAAAGAUAAUUUAAUCAAAAAAAAUUGUCGUCUCUAAAUGUCUAUGUGUCUGAGUCUUUAUAAUUGUUGCUGUCUAAAAUUAAAUUAAGCUAGAACUAGAAACAAAUUGCCGGAAUAUUUCUUAACCAUUAAUUAUAAUUCCUUGGUAACAUCAGAUUUUCUUUUGUUACUAAGGGUCAACUCAUAGGUAGUAUUGAAUCCGUUGAUAAUUGAUUUUUUUUUUUUUUUUUGAGUAUACCUUUCAUACUUUCAUAAGAGAGAGAACUGAUUUAGCUUUGUCAUAACAAUAUUAUUUAUUUCUUGCUAAAUAAAAGAAAAUAUAAUUUGAGGACAAUAUUUUCUUUAAAGAGGAUUAUAUGCUUAAGGACAAUGAUAGUAAUUGGUAAUACAAUAAUGACAUUUAGUAACAUUUGAAAAUUGUAACUAAAUCAAGAAAAAUGUUACUAAUAAAAUUUAGUAACACUUGAAUAAUUGUUAGGUAAAGCCCGUGUUACUAAAGAGUUUUGUCAUACUCGUAUGUUUUCUAUUUCUACUAUGUUGUGAGAGUUAAUUAGAUAUCAAUAAACUUUAGAUAUUUAUUAGAUAUAUAAGCCAAGUGUGGAACAUCGUUAGUGGGUAAUAUGUAAGUAUCUUUGUUAGCACAAUUUGAGCAUCGUGGCUUUCCCGAACUCCAAUGAUCCCUUGAACUCAAUUCACAUAAACUUUUUAAUGGCCUUGUAUGUAUGUAUAUAUAGUCAAAGGUUGGUAAACAUGUCUUUUUGUUCUUAUGUAGGGGACUAGGUAACAAAUUCAGCCAUGUCAGGAGAGCUAGGAGUGCUAAAUGCACUUGAUGUGGCCAAGACACAAUUGUAUCACUUCACUACAAUUGUGAUUGCUGGAAUGGGAUUCUUCACUGAUGCAUAUGAUCUUUUCUGCAUUUCCCUUGUCACAAAGUUGUUAGGGAGAAUAUAUUACACUGAACCAAAUCCAACAAGACCAGGAACACUUCCACCAAGUGCUCAAUCAGCUGUAACUGGUGUUGCACUUGUUGGAACACUAGCAGGCCAAUUAUUCUUUGGUUGGCUUGGCGACAAACUUGGUAGGAAAAAAGUCUAUGGUUUAACACUUAUUCUCAUGGUGGUUUGUUCAGUUGCUUCAGGACUCUCUUUUGGAUCAAGUCCAAAGAGUGUUAUGGCAACACUUUGUUUCUUUAGGUUUUGGCUUGGUUUUGGUAUUGGUGGUGAUUACCCUCUUUCAGCUACAAUCAUGUCUGAAUAUGCUAACAAAAAAACUAGAGGUGCAUUUAUUGCUGCUGUUUUUGCCAUGCAAGGUUUUGGUAUCUUAGGUGGUGGAAUUGUUGCUUUGACUGUGGCUUCUAUAUUUGAUCACAAAUAUAAGGUUCCUACCUUUGAAGAAAAUCCAGCUGCAUCAUUGUUAGUGCCUCAAUUUGAUUAUGUUUGGAGACUUAUUCUUAUGUUCGGUGCUCUUCCAGCUGCAUUGACGUACUACUGGCGAAUGAAAAUGCCAGAAACAGCUCGUUACACGGCUCUUGUUGC
rnacentral:lncRNA from 1 species